UGGGGAAUCUUCCGCAAUGGACGAAAGUCUGACGGAGCAACGCCGCGUGAGUGAAGAAGGUUUCCGGAUCGUAAAACUCUGUCUUUUGGGGCGAACGUGAGUAUGGUGAACAAUCAUAGUCAGUGACGGUACCAAAGGAGGAAGCCACGGCUAACUACGUGCCAGCAGCCGCGGUAAUACGUAGGUGGCAAGCGUUGUCCGGAAUUAUUGGGCGUAAAGAGCGCGUAGGCGGGAUAGUCAGUCUGUUGUAAAGUGCGGGGCUCAACCCCGUGAUCGCAAUGGAAACAGCUAUUCUUGAGUGCAGGAGAGGAAAGUGGAAUUCCCAGUGUAGCGGUGAAAUGCGUAGAUAUUGGGAGGAACACCAGUGGCGAAGGCGACUUUCUGGACUGUGUCUGACGCUGAGGCGCGAAAGCCAGGGGAGCGAACGGGAUUAGAUACCCCGGUAGUCCUGGCCGUAAACGAUGGGUACUAGGUGUGGGAGGUAUCGACCCCUUCCGUGCCGCAGUUAACACAAUAAGUACUCCGCCUGGGAAGUACGAUCGCAAGAUUAAAACUCAAAUGAAUU
rnacentral:rRNA from 1 species